GCUAAAAAUCCAGCCCAUUUUAACCGUAUGAAUCUACCCACUUUAUUUUAUAAACUAAAACAUUCUAACAUUAUAGUAAAGGAGAUUGAAAAAAUAAUUGGAGCUAUAAAAAUAGUACCGCAAGGGAAAUAUGAAAUAAAAAUGAAACAAACCUCAAGCAUAAAAAAGUAGAGCUCCCCCCUCGUACCUUUUGCAUCAUGGUUUAACUAGUCUAAUCAAGCAUAAAGCAUUAUAGUUUGACCCCCCGAAAUUAAGCGAGCUACUUCAGGGCAACUUUAAGAGCUAACCCGUCUCUGUUGCAAAAGAGUGGGAUGACCCUCAAGUAGGGGUGACAGACCUAACGAGCUUAGUGAUAGCUGGUUACUCAAGAAAAGGAUUUUAGUUCAACCUAAAGCUUCUCCCUUACAAUAAAAAGAUUUUUUAAGCUUUAGAGUAAUUCAAAUAAGGUACAGCCUAUUUGAAACAGGAUACAACCUCAACUGACGGGUACCAUAAGUUUUGUUUAUUUAACUAAGUAGGCCUAAAAGCAGCCACCUUUUAAAAAGCGUCAAAGAUUUAUUGAAAACUUAAACUAAUUUCUCUCCCCCCCUCUAACCCUCUAUUAAUAUUGAGUAAUUCUAUACUUCUAUAGAACCUAUUAUGUUUAAACUAGUAACAAGAAGCUAAACCUUCUCUUAGGUGUAUAUGUAAAUCAGACAGGACAGACCACUGAUAAUUAACGUUUAUGAGCCCACAUUAGUAACCUUUCAAGAAAAUUCUAAUUAUCCCCACGUUAACCUAAUACAAGAACACCACAAGAAAGAUUAAAAGAAAAAGAAGGAACUCGGCAAAUUUUAACCCCGCCUGUUUACCAAAAACAUCGCCUCUUGAGUAAAAAUAAGAGGUCUAGCCUGCCCAGUGACAACAAUUCAACGGCCGCGGUAUCCUAACCGUGCGAAGGUAGCGUAAUCACUUGUUCUUUAAAUGAGGACUAGUAUGAAUGGCAUCACGAGGGUUAUACUGUCUCCUUUUUUCAAUCAGUGAAACUAUUCUCCCCGUGAAGAAACGGGGAUAUUUUUAUAAGACGAGAAGACCCUAUGGAGCUUUAAAUUUUAUUUCAAUUGCUCUUUUUAUACCCUGUCCCGACUCCCUAAUUUCAAUUGAGCAUUAUGGUAAUAAAUUUUAGGUUGGGGUGACCGCGGAGCAUAAAAAAACCCCCGCAUAGAACAGGCCCGAGCCUUGAACAUAGAGCUACAACUCCAAGUACUAAUAUAUUAACAUCCAUUGACCCAAUAUUUUUGAUCAACGAACCAAGUUACCCUAGGGAUAACAGCGCAAUCUACUUUGAGAGCUCCUAUCGACAAGUGGGUUUACGACCUCGAUGUUGGAUCAGGGUAUCCCAGUGGUGCAGCCGCUACUAAAGGUUCGUUUGUUCAACGAUUAAAACCUU
rnacentral:rRNA from 1 species